AAGCAAUCAGGCCAGGAUUUCUCAAAGACUCCCACAUCCACUGAAGAAAAAACACCUUGGCUUGUGAGGAAGCGGAGAAGGCCGUCCAGAAGGUUUCAAUCAAGGGAGGGAAAUCUUAGACGGUUGUAGAAUUUGGAGAAAAGCUUAUUCACUGAACGACAGGAAAUCCACACAUCUCUUGGAUGCAUCUAACUUAGUACUUCCUAGGUUUUGGGCACGUCCACCACAUAUGGAAGAACGAUCCUUGUUUGUAGUUACAUCUCCAACAUUCCGCCGAUCUAUUCGGAAACAUUUUGGCCGAUCUUGCUGGAGUUUCAAGAUAAUCCUAUUCCACUGCAAGAAUGGCCUGGGAACAGCCCAGACCUUAACCCAUCUGGAAAUCUAUGGAGCUGACUGAAGAAACUGGUUAGUCAGAAGCGACCCAGCAAUAAAACCCAGUUAAUAGAAGCAAUCCUUCAAUCUUGGUUUCACAUUAUAACAGCUGCAGAACUAAAAGACUUGGUUCACUCCAUGGGAAGACGUUGUAAGGCCGUAAUUCCUGCUAAAGGUUACCCAAAUAAGUAUUAACUGAUAUGGUGAUUUUGUAUAUCUCGUUUUUUCUAUGUGUUUCACUUUUCUUCUUUAUACUGUAACGGAUAUUCUAAUAACCAAAUUUUUCAUAAAAGUUAUUGCAUUACAUUCUUGAUUAAACUAUCUUUCCAUUGAUAUAUAGUUUUAUGGUACU